rnacentral:rRNA from 1 species
GAUGAACGCUGGCGGCGUGCUUAACACAUGCAAGUCGAGCGAAGCAGUUAAGUUGAUUUCUUCGGAUUGAUUCUUAACUGACUGUGCGGCGGACGGGUGAGUAACGCGUGGGUGACCUGCCCCAUACCGGGGGAUAACAGCUGGAAACGGCUGCUAAUACCGCAUAAGCGCACAGAGCUGCAUGGCUCGGUGUGAAAAACUCCGGUGGUAUGGGAUGGGCCCGCGUCUGAUUAGGCAGUUGGCGGGGUAACGGCCCACCAAACCGACGAUCAGUAGCCGGCCUGAGAGGGCGACCGGCCACAUUGGGACUGAGACACGGCCCAAACUCCCACGGGAGGCAGCAGUGGGGAAUAUUGCACAAUGGGGGAAACCCUGAUGCAGCGACGCCGCGUGAGCGAAGAAGUAUUUCGGUAUGUAAAGCUCUAUCAGCAGGGAAGAUAAUGACGGUACCUGACUAAGAAGCCCCGGCUAACUACGUGCCAGCAGCCGCCGUAACAC